GUCAUUGCUUCGCCUUUGGCUAAGAUCAAGUGUAGUAUCUGUUCUAUCAGUUUAAUAUCUGAUAUAUAUCUAUAAUAUGACGCAUAACUUAUUAAGCAGAUUUUUAGCAUUAGAGAUGAAAAAGGAGCUUGCUUCAUCUUACUCCACGCAUUGACCCAGUAUUGCAGUAUUGCUGGGAACGGUGCACCCUUC